UACAGGGGGUGCUAGCGUUGUUCGGAAUUACUGGGCGUAAAGGGCGCGUAGGCGGUUUUGUAAGUCAGGAGUGAAAUCCCGGAGCUUAACUCCGGAAUUGCUUUUGAAACUACAAGGCUAGAGUGAGUUAGAGGAUGGCGGAAUUCCUAGUGUAGUGGUGAAAUACGUAGAUAUUAGGAAGAACACCGGUGGCGAAGGCGGCCAUCUGGGACUCAACUGACGCUGAGGCGCGAAAGCGUGGGGAUCAAACAGG
rnacentral:rRNA from 1 species